rnacentral:rRNA from 1 species
AGAGUUUGAUCCUGGCUCAGGAUGAACGCUAGCAGAACGCCUAACACAUGCAAGUCGAACGGAUUAAUAUUGCGAUUACAUCAAUAUGUUAGUUAGUGGCAAACGGGCGCGUAACACGUACUCAAUCUACCCUUAUGACGGGCACAACAUACGAGAGUAUGCUAAUUCCCGAUAUGGUAUAUAUCAUGCAAAAGUAUAUAUCAAAGAAGCAAUUCGCGUAAGGAGGAGGGUGCGGCCUAUCAGGUAGUUGGUUGAGGUAAUGGCUCACCAAGCCUAUGACGGGUAGCCGGUCUGAGAGGAUGUCCGGCCGCAAUGGAACUGAGACACGGUCCAUACCCCUAUGGGGGGCAGCAGUGGGGAAUCUUGGGCAAUGGACGAAAGUCUGACCCAGCGAUUCUGCGUGAAGGAUGAAGCCUUGCGGGGUGUAAACUUCUUUUCUGGAGGAAGACGAAUGACGGUACUCCAGGAAUAAGGGACGGCUAACUAUGUGCCAGCAGCCGCGGUAAUACAUAGGUCCCAAGCGUUAUCCGGAAUUACUGGGCGUAAAGAGUCCGUAUAUGGAUAUGUAAGUCUACUUUCAAAAAACGAGACUCAAUCUCGUCGAGGGAGUGGAUACUGCACUUCUAGAGUAUAUUAGGGGUUAGUAGAAUUUCCAGUGGAGGGGUGAAAUCUGUUGAUAUUGGAAAGAAUACCAAAAGCGAAAGCAGCUAACUAUAAUAUUUCUGACAUUGAUGGACGAAAGUUUGGGUAGCAAACGGGAUUAGAUACCCCGGUAGU